CGGCGGCGGCGGCAGGGGAGGAGGGGAGCUGCGAGAGGUGGGGGACGAUGGCGUGGAGGGGGAAAGUGGAGAGGAAGAAGGAGGAGGAAGAAGAGGACGAGAAACAAAAAUGGUGUAAAUUGGAAGAAGAAGAAGAAAAAGAGAAAUAGUGUAAAUUUCAUCUAAAGAGUGCAACUUUGUACUAAAGAGUGUAAAUCUGAUCCCAAAUAGUAUAAUUUUUAUCUCAAAAAGUGCAAUUUUUAUUUAAAACAGCACAAAAAUUUCUUUAAACAAUGUAAUUUUAUUUUAACAGUGCAAUUUCAUCUUCAUCUUUCUUCUUCUAUAAUUUUUUGUCUUUAUUUUUCUCUUCUUACUUCUUCUACAAUUUUUUUUUUGUCACGCCUCUCCAUCAACGGCCAUUGCGUCGACUACAACGCCGCUAAGGACCCCUCGCUACGAGGCAACGAUGCCGUAGUGACCUCCGCGGCGCCGUCGUCCGAGGCCGCAGAGGAGGAAGGAAAGGGACAGAGCGAGAAGGGCGGGAAAGGGCGAGAGAGGGCGAGAGAGGCGUCGUCGUCGGAGACCGUGGAGUUGGGUCAGAGAGGGAAAAAAAAAAGGAGUUGCGGGGUGGGUUGGCGGGAUCGGAGGCAAGGAAGGCGAGGGGGUGCACGAAGGAGGGCGAGGGCAUGAAGGUUAGAGGCGAGGCGGGCCAUUUCCUCCUCCGCCUCUGCCUCCACUGCCUUCUUCGGAGAGAGAAAAAAAAAUGAAUGAGAAAAAAAAAAGGAGAGAGAAAAAGUAAUAAGGGUAUUUUGGUGAGUUUACUAAAAAUUCGGACCGAAUCUGCAAAAUUGAAAAAGGCGGCCCAGUUUUGC
rnacentral:lncRNA from 1 species